rnacentral:rRNA from 1 species
UACGGAGGAUGCAAGCGUUAUCCGGAAUGAUUGGGCGUAAAGCGUCCGCAGGUGGCUAUGUAAGUCUGCUGUUAAAGGGCAAGGCUCAACCUUGUAAAGGCAGUGGAAACUACAUGGCUAGAGUGCGUUCGGGGCAGAGGGAAUUCCUGGUGUAGCGGUGAAAUGCGUAGAGAUCAGGAAGAACACCGGUGGCGAAGGCGCUCUGCUAGGCCGCAACUGACACUGAGGGACGAAAGCUAGGGGAGCGAAUGGG